rnacentral:rRNA from 1 species
UACAGAGGGUGCGAGCGUUAAUCGGAAUUACUGGGCGUAAAGGGCGCGUAGGCGGAUAAAUAAGUUAGGUGUGAAAUGUCUGGGCUUAACCUAGAGAUUGCAUUUAAUACUGUUAAUCUAGAGUGGAGUAGAGGGAAGUGGAAUUUCCGGUGUAGCGGUGAAAUGCGUAGAUAUCGGAAAGAACACCAGUGGCGAAGGCGACUUUCUGGACUCCAACUGACGCUGAGGCGCGAAAGCAUGGGUAGCAAACAGG